CAACCCUCAAGCUCUGCUUGGUAUUGGGCGUCACCGGUUCCGGUGUGCUCUAAAAUCAGUGGCGGCGCCGUCUGGCUCUAAGCGUAGUACAUACUCUCGCUAUAGACGUCAGUUGGAUGCUUGCCAGCCAACCCCCAAUUUUUUAAGG
rnacentral:misc_RNA from 1 species